rnacentral:pre_miRNA from 1 species
AUACAAAUCACCUGGGGAUCUUGUUAAAAUGCAGAUUUUGAUUAAGAGGCUUAGGAUAGGGACUGAGAUUCUUCAUUCUUAACAAGCUCCUAAAUGAUGGCAAU